rnacentral:rRNA from 2 species
GAGGGAAAGGCGAAAAGAACCCCGGCGAGGGGAGUGAAAAAGAACCUGAAACCGUGUACGUACAAGCAGUGGGAGCACAGGUUUACCUGUGUGACUGCGUACCUUUUGUAUAAUGGGUCAGCGACUUAUAUUCUGUAGCAAGGUUAACCGUAUAGGGGAGCCGUAGGGAAACCGAGUCUUAACCGGGCGUUAAGUUGCAGGGUAUAGACCCGAAACCCGGUGAUCUAGCCAUGGGCAGGUUGAAGGUUGGGUAACACUAACUGGAGGACCGAACCGACUAAUGUUGAAAAAUUAGCGGAUGACCUGUGGCUGGGGGUGAAAGGCCAAUCAAACCGGGAGAUAGCUGGUUCUCCCCGAAAGCUAUUUAGGUAGCGCCUCGUGAACUCAUCUCCGGGGGUAGAGCACUGUUUCGGCUAGGGGGCCAUCCCGGCUUACCAACCCGAUGCAAACUGCGAAUACCGGAGAAUGUUAUCACGGGAGACACACGGCGGGUGCUAACGUCCGUCGUGAAGAGGGAAACAACCCAGACCGCCAGCUAAGGUCCCAAAGUCAUGGUUAAGUGGGAAACGAUGUGGGAAGGCCCAGACAGCCAGGAUGUUGGCUUAGAAGCAGCCAUCAUUUAAAGAAAGCGUAAUAGCUCACUGGUCGAGUCGGCCUGCGCGGAAGAUGUAACGGGGCUAAACCAUGCACCGAAGCUGCGGCAGCGAACGUAUCACUUAAAGCGAUUCAGCGGGUUACGAUUGACGGAGCGAAGCGACGUCAAAGCGUAUACAAAGUCGAGUCGGUUUAAGGAUACGUUCGUUGGGUAGGGGAGCGUUCUGUAAGCCUGUGAAGGUGUGUCGUGAGGCAUGCUGGAGGUAUCAGAAGUGCGAAUGCUGACAUAAGUAACGAUAAAGCGGGUGAAAAGCCCGCUCGCCGGAAGACCAAGGGUUCCUGUCCAACGUUAAUCGGGGCAGGGUGAGUCGACCCCUAAGGCGAGGCCGAAAGGCGUAGUCGAUGGGAAACAGGUUAAUAUUCCUGUACUUGGUGUUACUGCGAAGGGGGGACGGAGAAGGCUAUGUUGGCCGGGCGACGGUUGUCCCGGUUUAAGCGUGUAGGCUGGUUUUCCAGGCAAAUCCGGUUCACUUUAAAACUGAGGCGUGAUGACGAGGCACUACGGUGCUGAAGCAACAAAUGCCCUGCUUCCAGGAAAAGCCUCUAAGCAUCAGGUAACAUCAAAUCGUACCCCAAACCGACACAGGUGGUCAGGUAGAGAAUACCAAGGCGCUUGA